rnacentral:rRNA from 1 species
UACGGAGGAUCCAAGCGUUAUCCGGAUUUAUUGGGUUUAAAGGGUGCGUAGGCGGCCCAUUAAGUCAGGGGUGAAAGACGGUAGCUCAACUAUCGCAGUGCCCUUGAUACUGAUGGGCUUGAAUGGACUAGAGGUAGGCGGAAUGUGACAAGUAGCGGUGAAAUGCAUAGAUAUGUCACAGAACACCGAUUGCGAAGGCAGCUUACUAUGGUCUUAUUGACGCUGAGGCACGAAAGCGUGGGGAGCGAACAGG